CUUAUCUUAUUAAUAUAAGAGGCUGGUCUGAAAAGAUAGUGAACUUUGUGAAGUUGUGUGCCUAAGAGAGAACUAUGAUAUUGUGCUCUAUGUUGAAAGAGAAAUAAUGGACCAAUAGAAUUCUAGAUAGAUUAUAAUGGUAUCCCUAUGGAAAAUCAGAGGCAAAUUUGAUAACUACUACAUCAAGGGCUGCCUUGUGACAUGAUUCUUUGAGAGCCGAGCCAGUGGUCUCUCAGAGCUUAGGUUUGGCUUUGAGGAGAAAUGAAGAAAAACCUUGGACUAUUUUGGCAGCUUUUCUUUGUCCAUUUUUGGAAACAAAGGAAGGAAACCAGUUUCUGUCUGCUAUUGUGAUAACAUUUUGGUUUGAAGAAAAUUCACAGAAGAUUCUUUGUUUGGAUUUUGAAUUUCACCUCAGAGCCACACACUCUGUACAGCUGCAGCAGUAAGAGAGGAGCCAUGGAGUAGGAAUGUGUACCCAUGAGUGUGGUAGCUGAAGAACUGGAGCCCAUCAGCUAUGGCCACUCCCAGAAGAAUAGUCUCUCUGGCAGCAGUCAGAGAAGCUAGUAGACUGGUUGCUUGCAUUUGAAGUGACAGAACUGUCCAUGGAUUUGGGAAUUUAUUUUCCAAGACAAACUCAGGAAUUGUAUGAACACAACUAUGAAACACUUUUCCUACAAAUAAAAUGAGAUCUAAAAAAAUUCA
rnacentral:lncRNA from 1 species